rnacentral:lncRNA from 1 species
UCCGGCUUAAUAUCGCGGUGGGCCACCCCCAUUUUGUGACAGUGAUUAAUCGCGGAAAUUAAUUGGACCAGAAUGUUAGCGGCGGCGCGUUCGGAUAACGGCCCAGUGGAAACCCGCUCGUAAAGAUCGUUGUUAGGGCAGAGGUCGGUUACCAUGUGAAGGAAGUUUUCAUCUUCGUAGAUUUUGUAGAGGUGAAGAAUGUUUGGACUACCAGAAAGGAGCUGGAGAAUCUUGGGUUCCUUGUCGAGGCACUCACGGUCGGUGGAAUCGAGGAGGAGGGAUUUUUCGAUGGAUUUACAGGCGAAGGAAUGACCGGUGACCGGUGAGAAGCAGCGGUAGACGGUACCGAAUCUACCACGCCCGAUUUCUUCGCAGAUUUGGAAGUCGCUUUUCAAGGCUUGGCUCAUAUUAUUAUUUAGGCUUU